rnacentral:rRNA from 1 species
AGUUUGAUCCUGGCUCAGGACGAACGCUGGCGGCGUGCUUAACACAUGCAAGUCGAACGGAAAGGCCUCUUCGGAGGUACUCGAGUGGCGAACGGGUGAGUAACACGUGGGCAAUCUGCCCUGCACUUCGGGAUAAGCCUGGGAAACUGGGUCUAAUACCGGAUAGGACCUCAAGACGCAUGUCUUCUGGUGGAAAGCUUUUGCGGUGUGGGAUGGGCCCGCGGCCUAUCAGCUUGUUGGUGGGGUGACGGCCUACCAAGGCGACGACGGGUAGCCGGCCUGAGAGGGUGUCCGGCCACACUGGGACUGAGAUACGGCCCAGACUCCUACGGGAGGCAGCAGAAGGG